CGCUCUCUGCGGUGUUCGCCAGCAGGAAAGUAAUAUGCCUUGUCCCUACUUAUCGACCUAGGGAUGGCGGCUUCCGGUACUUGUGUGCAGCUUGUUUCAACGCGAGUUGCCUGAUGGUCCGGAGAGCCAACCCACCUGAACCAUUGGUUCAAGGUCACCGACCUGCAGCGGCACAGGUGGAGAGCGC
rnacentral:other from 1 species